rnacentral:rRNA from 1 species
UACGUAGGCAGCGAGCGUUGUUCGGAAUUACUGGGCGUAAAGAGUGUGUAGGCGGUGCUCUAAGUUCGGUGUGAAAUCUCCUGGCUUAACUGGGAGGGUGCGCCGGAAACUGGAGUGCUCGAACGUGGGAGAGGAAAGCGGAAUUCCUGGUGUAGCGGUGAAAUGCGUAGAUAUCAGGAGGAACACCUGCGGUGUAGACGGCUUUCUGGCCUGCGACUGACGCUGUGGCGCGAAAGCUAGGGGAGCGAACGGG